GAUGAACGCUGGCGGCGUGCUUAACACAUGCAAGUCGAACGAAGCACUUUAUUUGAUUUCCUUCGGGACUGAUUAUUUUGUGACUGAGUGGCGGACGGGUGAGUAACGCGUGGGUACCUGCCUUGUACAGGGGGAUAACAGUUGGAAACGGCUGCUAAUACCGCAUAAGCGCCAAGCAUCGCAUGAUGCAGUGUGAAAAACUCCGGUGGUAUAAGAUGGACCCGCGUUGGAUUAGCUAGUUGGUGAGGUAACGGCCCACCAAGGCGACGAUCCAUAGCCGACCUGAGAGGGUGACCGGCCACAUUGGGACUGAGACACGGCCCAAACUCCUACGGGAGGCAGCAGUGGGGAAUAUUGCACAAUGGGCGAAAGCCUGAUGCAGCGACGCCGCGUGAGCGAAGAAGUAUUUCGGUAUGUAAAGCUCUAUCAGCAGGGAAGAUAAUGACGGUACCUGACUAAGAAGCACCGGCUAAAUACGUG
rnacentral:rRNA from 1 species